rnacentral:rRNA from 1 species
GUAGGUGGCAAGCGUUGUCCGGAAUUAUUGGGCGUAAAGCGCGCGCAGGCGGUUCUUUAAGUCUGAUGUGAAAGCCCACGGCUCAACCGUGGAGGGUCAUUGGAAACUGGAGAACUUGAGUACAGAAGAGGAAAGCGGAAUUCCACGUGUAGCGGUGAAAUGCGUAGAGAUGUGGAGGGACACCAGUGGCGAAGGCGGCUUUCUGGUCUGUAACUGACGCUGAGGCGCGAAAGCGUGGGGAGCAAACAGGAUUAGAUACCCUGGUAGUCCAGCCGUAAACGAUGAGUGCUAAGUGUUAGGGGGUUUCGCCCCCCUUAGUGCUGCAGCUAACGCAUUAAGCACUCCGCCUGGGAUACGGCCGCAAGGCUG